rnacentral:rRNA from 1 species
UACAGAGGUCCCAAGCGUUGUUCGGAUUUAUUGGGCGUAAAGGGCGCGUAGGCGGUCGGGCAAGUCUGAUGUGAAAUCUCACAGCUUAACUGUGAAACUGCAUUGGAUACUAUUCGGCUGGAGAGUUGGAGGGGGGACUGGAAUUCUUGGUGUAGCAGUGAAAUGCGUAGAUAUCAAGAGGAACACCAGUGGCGAAGGCGAGUCCCUGGACAGCUUCUGACGCUGAGGCACGAAAGCUAGGGGAGCAAACAGG